rnacentral:rRNA from 1 species
UACGUAGGGAGCAAGCGUUGUCCGGAAUCAUUGGGCGUAAAGCGCGCGUAGGCGGUCCGAUAAGUCCGCUGUGAAAGUCCAGGGCUCAACCCUGGGAUGCCGGUGGAUACUGUCGGGCUCGAGUCCGGAAGAGGCGAGUGGAAUUCCUGGUGUAGCGGUGAAAUGCGCAGAUAUCAGGAGGAACACCGAUUGCGAAGGCAGCUCGCUGGGACGUUACUGACGCUGAGACGCGAAAGCGUGGGGAGCAAACAGG